rnacentral:rRNA from 1 species
UGGGGAAUAUUGGACAAUGGGCGCAAGCCUGAUCCAGCCAUGCCGCGUGAGUGAUGAAGGCCUUAGGGUUGUAAAGCUCUUUCGGCGGGGACGAUAAUGACGGUACCGGCAGAAGAUGUCCCGGCUAACUUCGUUCCAGCAGCCGCGGUAAUACGAAGGGGGCUAGGGUUGUUCGGAAUCACUGGGCGUAAAGGGCGCGUAGGCGGCUUUAUAAGUCGGGGGUGAAAGCCUGUGGCUCAACCACAGAAUUGCCUUCGAUACUGUAGAGCUUGAGACCGGAAGAGGUAAGUGGAACUGCGAGUGUAGAGGUGAAAUUCGUAGAUAUUCGCAAGAACACCAGUGGCGAAGGCGGCUUACUGGUCCGGUUCUGACGCUGAGGCGCGAAAGCGUGGGGAGCAAA